ACAUAUGUUCUCAGGUAACUUUGAACUCUUUGUUGUUGCAAUAGUAGGUAUUGAACUCAGGAUUUCCUGUAUGUGAGGCACACUAUCACUUGAGUCAUAUGCCCAUCCAGUUCCUUUGCUUUUAGUUUGUUUCUCAGAUAGGGUCCUGCACUUUUGCACAGGUCUCUCUCUACUUCCUAAGAGCUGGGAUUUACAGGUGUGUGCUACCAUGCCUGCCUAGGCUUGAUGUUUUUAUGGGCUUACUUAGCCUCUUUCUUAUACUAUUUUUCCUCAUGAUUGAUCAGGUGAAUUGAUCAGGUGAUGGUAAAACAGCUAAAUCAAGAAAGGAGAUUGGAGCUGAGUGUUGAAGAGAUGAGGGCAAAAAGGAGAAGAACAGAUGUGAAACAAAGAGAAAGAACUAGUUCUGGAGGCUAUAAAUCCAAGAAGAUCAAGAGGGUCGCAACUUGGUUUCUCUUGAAGUCCCUCUCCAUGAUGUACAGAUGGCCACCUUCUCAACCGCAUCCUUAGGAAUCGUCAUUUAGCAGGGGUAAUCUCUGAGGGACUAUCAAAAACUUCUUGUCAUCUUUCCAAAUCAUCCCUCUCUGCAGUGACCAUGUCUUAAUCCUGAAGGAAAACAAGAGUCCUGGAUACGCCCUACUUGAACCUACACUGUUCUUAGACUUUUCAGCAAGUCAGUAAGUUCUUUACACCUUUCUCUUAUUUGUUUGUUUUCUUAAACCAUUCAGGUUGAAUUCCUGUCAUGUGAAAUAGAAUAGUCCUUACAAAUAAAACAGUGGGAGAAAAGUGCAAGAAAUCUAAUUGAAACUCUUAACGUUUAUAAGAAACAUAAUCGAACGUUGUUUGUUUUUCUUCUAUGUAGUUUUCUUGAGUUACUUUUGUGUGUGUGUGUGUAUGUGUGUGUGUAUGUCCUUUCCAGUAUUGUCUAGCAACAUGAGGUACCUUUGUGGGGUAAAGGAUGGAAAGCAAUGAAAUUGUUACAUGCUGACAAUAACCUAGGAAACUUGAGAUUUUUUUACAAGUAGGAGGCAAUGAUGACUUUUUGUCUUUUUUGUUCUGUCUCUUCCUCCCUUGCUCUCAGACUUUUGUUCUUUGCCCAUAAUGUGAAUAUUUGCUCCAUUGCAGUAACUCAUGAUAUCUCAUAAGCUUCAUUUUAGGUACUGGGACAAUCUACAAUUCACAAAAUUCCAGCCUGUAGUGAGGGACCCUUGAGAGUUUGCAAAGUUGCAAAAUUAGGCAUCCAAAAAUUCAUUCAUCCAUUUACCUUUUCUUAAUCAAUGAAUGCUAAAAUGCAAUCAAUAGCAUGUGAGGUAUUACAGAACUUUUGGAUCGUUCCAGGAGAAAGGUUGAAUGAUCAUGCAAUAGAAACAUGUUAUUAAGCUAUUAGUAUGUAAUGUGACACAGUAAAGUGCCCAAUGUGACGUACUUAACAUACAUUAAAAUAUAUUUAGACUGCAUAGCAAUCUUACGAAGCUGGCAUUAUUAUUUUUUUCUUGAGAUAGAAACAAAAUGCUUUAUUUUCUGUAGUUACUAUCCCUUAACAAAAUUCAUUUAAGUUAUUCUAUUCUCAAUGAAUCUAACAACUAGUGAAGAAGAUAGGCUU